UACAGAGGGUGCAAGCGUUAAUCGGAAUUACUGGGCGCAAAGCGUGCGCAGACGGUUGCGUAAGUCAGAUGUGAAAGCCCCCGGCUCAACUGGGGAGGGUCACUCGAUACUGAUCGACUCGAAGGCAGGAGAGGGAAGCGGAAUUCCCGGUGUAGUGGUGAAAUGCGUAGAUAUCGGGAGGAACACCAGUGGCGAAGGCGGCUUUCUGGCCUGCUCUUGACGCUGAGGCGCGAAAGCUAGGGGUAGCAAACAGG
rnacentral:rRNA from 1 species